UCAGGGGGUUGGUUUCUCUCUUUGGUUAUCUAGCUGUAUGAGUUAUAACACUGUCAUAAAGCUAGAUAACCGAAAGUAGAAAUAAUUCCCAAAAUCUUUGG
ensembl:miRNA mir9-3 microRNA 9-3